ensembl:lncRNA
CUUUUUUCUUUCUUUCUUUUAUUUUUAUUUAAAUUUUUAUUUUAUUUUUUUUCGUGACAGUUUCUCUUAGCUUUGGAGGCUGUCCUAGAACUAGCUCUUGUAGAUCAGGCUGGUCUCAAACUCACAGAGAUCCUCCUGCCUCUGCCUCCCAAGUCCUGGGAUUCAAGGCGUGCGCCACCAACGCCCUGCUAACUUUUCUAGCAGUUUAGAUUAACCCUUUCCUACUUCCACUCCUUCCAAGAGUUCAGUUGUUAUUGGGAAGACAUGGCCCUGCUAAGGUAUGCCACUAAGUAAACAUGCCAUGUGCAUGUACUUUGCAGAUGUGGACUGGAGUGCUCUGCAGGUGUGGACUGGGGUGCUCUGCAGGUGUGAAGUGAGGUGCUCUGAAGGUGUGGACUGGGGUGCUCUGCAGGUGUGAACUGUGGUGCUCUGCAGGGGUGAACUGGGGUGCUCUGCAGGGGUGGACUGAAGUGAUUCUGCAGGUGUGGACUGGGUUGCUCUGCAGGUGUGGACUAGGGUGCUCUUCAGGUGUGAACUGGGGUGCUCUGCAGGUGUGGACUGGGGUGCUUUGCAGGUGUGGAGUGAGGUGUUCUGCAGGUAUGGGCUGGGGUGAGCUGCACAUGUGGACUGGGGUGCUCUGCAGACUUCCAUGAUUGCCCAGAGGAGCACUGCCUUACCUUAGUACAGAUCCCACUCUCACAAAUCUAUCUCUGGCCACAUGUGGCUCCAUUUUUCUUGCUGUAAGAAAACAUCUAAAGUUGAUUCAGAAUGGAAUGGGUUUGUUUUGACACCUGGUUCUGGAAGCUGGAGAGUUCAAGGCUGGUCAAACCUUAUGCUGGCUAAAACCUUAUGCUGCUUUAACUCAUUGCAGAAAGCAGGUAGAUAUGUGGAAGAAUAGAAGGGAUAGAGGGACAGACCUAUUGUCUUAGUUAUUGCUCUAUUGUUGUGAAGAGACUCUUAUGUCACAUCUACUCCAACAAGGCUACCUAUCUUAAUCCUUUCUAAUAAUGCCACUCCCUAUGGGGGCCAUUUUCAUUCAAACCACCACAUUCUACUCCCUAGUCUCUAUAGGCUUACAGGCAUAUCAUAAUGCAAAAAGCAUUCAGUCCAACUUCAAAAGUCCCCAUAGUCUAUCACAGUUUCAACAAUGUUUAAAAUUCCAAAGUUCAACGUCUCUUCUGACACUCUCUUAACUGUAACCCCCAUAAAAUCAAAAUAAAAAAGCAGAUCACAUAAUUCCAACAUAUAUUGGCACAGGAUAUACAUCAUCAUUUCAAAAGGGAAGAAAGGGGCAUAAUGAAGAAAUACUGGACUAAAGUAAGACCAAAAACCAGCUGGACAAACUCUAAACUCUGCUUUUCCAAGUCUGAUGUCAAAGUGCUCUUCAGAUCUCCAACUCCUUUCAGCUAUGUUGACUGCAACACACUUGUGUCUGUUGGGCUGGUUCCACUCCCUGUAAGCAGCCCUCCUCAGCAAGUAUUCCACAGAAGAUGCCAAAAUGCUCUGGCAUCUUCAGCAUUUUGGGGUCUCCAAAGCAAUCAGGCUUCAACUUCACAACUUCAUGGAAUGGCUUCUCUGGAUCUCCAUGCAGGGAUACCCCUGCCACUUGCUUAGCCUCAGCAGCUUUCCUUAGUCACAGAGGGAGAUUGCAUAACCUCUUUCUUGUAUCCUUGACUCUAAAACCAGAACCAUAUGGCCAAAGAUGCCAAGUUCUGCUGCUUUCUGGGAGUGGAACAUGACCCCCUCAUUAAAAUAUAUUUUCAUCAACUUUCUGUUUUCGAUAAUUUCCUUCAUUGUCUG